rnacentral:rRNA from 1 species
CCUACGGGUGGCAGCAGUGGGGAAUAUUGCACAAUGGGGGAAACCCUGAUGCAGCGACGCCGCGUGAGUGAAGAAGUAAUUCGUUACGUAAAGCUCUAUCAGCAGGGAAGAAAAUGACGGUACCUGAGUAAGAAGCCACGGCUAACGACGUGCCAGCAGCCGCGGUAAUAAGUAGGGGGGAAGCGUUAACCGGAUUUACUGGGGGUAAAGGGAGAGUAGACGGUGCGCCAAGUCUAGAGGUAAAUGCCCAAGCUUAACGGCGGAACUGCUUUUGAAACUGGCGAACUAGAGUGCGUGAGGGGUAAGCGGAAUUCCUAGUGUAGCGGUGAAAUGCGUAGAUAUUAGGAGGAACACCGGUUGCGAAGGCGGCUUACUGGACCGUAACUGACGUUGAGGCUCGAAAGCGUGGGGAGCAAACAGGAUUAGAUACCCUGGUAGUC